rnacentral:lncRNA from 1 species
GCCUGCACAAUCAGUGUCGUAUACUCAUGUAACGCGAGCUGUGAUUUGCUCCUUUAUACAAAUCUCCCUCCAAUCAAAUAAUCGGACUGAAUAUUUGGAGGGAAAAAACGAGCAACACUAAUGUAAACAAAGGACUCGAGCAAUGCUUUCUUUGUUGAUAAACGUGUGUAUCCAAUCGUCAUAUGGUGAAAUCAUUUAUUCUGGUCACACGGCAAACAGUUUUAUUGUCUAUCGAAUAAACCAUUCUAAAAACGAAUAAGAAACAAACGUAUUUGUCCGUUUGUACGUGUCAAGUGUUUUUAUGUUGUGUUUUGUGCAUCAGUAUACGUAUCAAUUACGAUAUUUCCGGAUUGGAUUGACGGAUCAUCUCACAACAAGAACCAACGAAAAGAAGGUACAUUAACUUUCAAGGAGACAGCAGACAAGGAUACAUUGGAUAGAGGAGUCGAAAACUCUUGGUGGCGUGUUACCCAUAAAAGUUAAAUAUGAGAAAAAUGCUUCACCAAUGGAGGAGGCGCGCGCGGUUAGCAUCGAUUCCUGCAAGAACGAUCGUACCUCGAAAACCCUGGGCAUCAAUAUUAUUUCAUGAAUCAGGAAGCACUUUCUCGUUCACGCUCGUACGUCGUCGAGAAAAGGAGAAUCCAGCACGGGACCUGGGAAAGGGAGCAGCAGCACCUCGAGGAGCAAAAAACUGCUCGUCGAUGAACCUCGAAGGGCUCCCCAGCCUCGUCGAGUUUUCCUGGCAACGCUGGAUUUAAUACAUUUGCAAUUUUCAUACGGGAUUUUAUUCCGCGCUGUGUGCUUUUCCACGCUGCCUCGAGCGCACCAGCUCUGCUGCUUCGAUCUCAAUCACGGAGUUGACGAAUCGUUGAUCGUUCCGACGAGCAGAUGCAUCCAGUGAGGAAAAUUCGAGGAAAAUUCUGCUUCCUGCGCCAAAUUGGGUGCCCAACGUUCGGAAAAUCAACAAGUUUUGUUAAAACGUUGCAGUAAACCCGGAUGGAGUGGAAAGUUUCGUUACAGAAUGGAAGAAUCGUUACAAAACCGUGUGCACAUUGCACGUGCUCCAAAACGGAAUUAUUCGAAAUUGGUGAAGAAAGCGAUUUUUGAAGAAACAUACGCAAGCCUCCGUCCAACUUUUCCGGUAUUCCGAAUAUCAACAUUUUCGUUUCUGAACGCGAAAGGGCAGCAGAGCGCGCGAGGAGUAGAGACAGAUUCUCUUUGAUAUUGCAGCCGCUAUA